rnacentral:misc_RNA from 1 species
GAUGAAGAACGUAGCGAAAUGCGAUAAGUAAUGUGAAUUGCAGAAUUCAGUGAAUCAUCGAAUCUUUGAACGCACAUUGCGCCCGCCAGUAUUCUGGCGGGCAUGCCUGUCCGAGCGUCAUUUCAACCAUCAAGCCCCGGGCUUGUGUUGGGGACCUGCGUCCGACGCAGGCCCUGAAAACCAGUGGCGGGCUCGCUGUCCACACCGAGCGUAACUAACCUCGCUAUGGAGUGGCGCGGGCGCCUGCCGUAAAACCCCCAAUUUCACAAGGUUGACCUCGGAUCAGGUAGGAAUACCCGCUGAACUUAAGCAUAUCAAUAAGCGGAGGA